rnacentral:piRNA from 1 species
UGGGCCCAGAAAUGCCUGGGAG